CCGUUUUCAAAGGAGGUAAAAAUAGUAGAUGAAACCCUACCGUCCUAGGGGAGAAGAGACGGCAGGCGGUAAUUGCAGAGAGAGAUUGCAGAGAGGGAGAGCUGUUCCGACUGGUUGAUGAAAGAUGAGGAAAUGAGCUUUUCUUUUUCUGAUUCUCGCUGCAUUGGUAGAAAGAUCUCCCAAACACCCCAAAACCUCUCUCUCUCUCACUGAAGAAACUAAAGAAAGGACGAAAAUGCCCUUACUCUCCAAACUAAAAUCCCUCACACUCAUCCCACCCUCUUCCCACCUCCUCCUCCAGGGCCGCCAUGUCAGUGGCACUGCCAAGGGCAAAUCCAAGCUUAAAACCGGCCAGGUCCUCAAGCGCUCCAAAAUCCCCAAAAAGUCCUCUGCUGCUUCCGGGUCUGGUGGGAGCACCAAAGACUAUGCCACGCAGAAGGUCAACGAAAUGGUGGACUCUUGCCUAGAUGCUCCUACACCCAUCAGAUUCCUCACCCCCAAGCAGAAGCUCAUCGAAGCUGAGCGUGAGAAGCUGGGCCUCAUCAGUAAGGCCCGCAAGCGUGAGAUCGACAGCCUGAAAUCCUCCAAAGGCGGAUCGAGCUGUGGAUCCGACGGAUUCACAGGGAUUGGGACCCCAGGCCUUGAUCUGAUCACGCUGGGGGUCGUUGAUGGAGAUAAGGUGCCUAAGUACAAUCUGACGGUCGAGGAUGGGCGGAGGCUGGCGAAGGAGUAUAGUAGGGUAUUGAUGAGGAAGCACCGGGCCCGGCAGGCGGCGGAGUCUACGCUCCUGAGGCUGAAGAAGGAGGCGAUUGAGGCGUUGCCGGAGGGUCCCCUGCGGGAUGCCGCCAUGGUCCCUGAUCUCACACCCUUCCCGAAGGAGAGGUUCAUGGCCACGCUGACACCGCCGAUCGAUGGGUAUGUGGAGAAGAUCAAGGCAGCGACAAAGAUGGGCAUGGGGAAGGAGAAGCUACGGUGAUGAUGAUCCAAUGAGCAUUUUGGUGGGACCACCUUCGUGUGAUGCAGAUUGUUGUCUGGUGGGUCCCCCAUGGAUGGGCUGUCAACUGAAAAUCUCCUCCAUCGAGCACUCCUAGGUUGUGCAUGUGUGUUAUUUGUUUGGAAGCUCAUGCAACAAAAGAUUAUGUGAGGCUUCCCAUGUUGAAGGUGUGACAUUCAUAGCAACGGAGAGAGUGGAGAUUGGGACAUCUAUCAUUGAAACUAUUUUAAGACCUUUUUCGUUUUUGGUUUUCCAUGUAAUCCUCUGCACCCUUUCCCUAGUAUUUUCUUCUCUCUUGCCCUCCCCUCAUCGCUCUCCAUACCUAAUGCAUGGGUCAUAUAACAUCCCCUCGAGCAUGUAUAUCAAGAAUGCUAAAAUCCCAUGUCUCAUUACUCAUGAAACUUGCAUUGGAAAUCACACUAAUCUGAUGUUCUCAAUGGUAUUGAUCUUUUCUACA